rnacentral:rRNA from 1 species
GAUGAACGCUGGCGGCGUGCCUAAUACAUGCAAGUCGAGCGAACGGACGAGAAGCUUGCUUCUCUGAUGUUAGCGGCGGACGGGUGAGUAACACGUGGAUAACCUACCUAUAAGACUGGGAUAACUUCGGGAAACCGGAGCUAAUACCGGAUAAAAUUUUGAACCGCAUGGUUCAAAAGUGAAAGACGGUCUUGCUGUCACUUAUAGAUGGAUCCGCGCUGCAUUAGCUAGUUGGUAAGGUAACGGCUUACCAAGGCAACGAUGCAUAGCCGACCUGAGAGGGUGAUCGGCCACACUGGAACUGAGACACGGUCCAGACUCCUACGGGAGGCAGCAGUAGAGAAUCUUCCGCAAUGGGCGAAAGCCUGACGGAGCAACGCCGCGUGAGUGAUGAAGGUCUUCGGAUCGUAAAACUCUGUUAUUAGGGAAGAACAUAUGUGUAAGUAACUGUGCACAUCUUGACGGUACCUAAUCAGAAAGCCACGGCUAACUACGUG